UACCACGAGCGUCCGUAGAUGGGGAACC
rnacentral:sRNA from 1 species